ACGAAAACGCAGCUUGGUAUGAGCGCCCACCGGCCGCGGCGGCUUGAUCUCCAGACGCAGCCACUUGCCUUUCGUCUCAGCGUGCGGCACGGCCUGGGCGACGCCCCAGUAGGAAUCCUCCGGAGCGCCCUUGGUUUUCGUCAGCACCUCGAAAGCGCCGGGCCAGUAUUUCGGCUUGCUCUUG
rnacentral:misc_RNA from 1 species